GACGAACGCUGGCGGCGUGCUUAACACAUGCAAGUCGAGCGGUAAGGCCCUUUCGGGGGUACACGAGCGGCGAACGGGUGAGUAACACGUGGGUGACCUGCCCUUAGCUCUGGGAUAAGCCUGGGAAACUGGGUCUAAUACCGGAUAUGACUCCAUGACGCAUGUUGUGGGUGGAAAGCCUUGUGCGGCUAGGGAUGGGCCCGCGGCCUAUCAGCUUGUUGGUGGGGUGAUGGCCUACCAAGGCGACGACGGGUAGCCGGCCUGAGAGGGCGACCGGCCACACUGGGACUGAGACACGGCCCAGACUCCUACGGGAGGCAGCAGUGGGGAAUAUUGGACAAUGGGCGCAAGCCUGAUCCAGCGAUGCCGCGUGUGUGAAGAAGGCCUGCGGG
rnacentral:rRNA from 1 species